GAAGUUAGCGGCGGACGGGUGAGUAACACGUGGGUAACCUGCCCAUAAGACUGGGAUAACUCCGGGAAACCGGGGCUAAUACCGGAUAACAUUUUGAACCGCAUGGUUCGAAAUUGAAAGGCGGCUUCGGCUGUCACUUAUGGAUGGACCCGCGUCGCAUUAGCUAGUUGGUGAGGUAACGGCUCACCAAGGCAACGAUGCGUAGCCGACCUGAGAGGGUGAUCGGCCACACUGGGACUGAGACACGGCCCAGACUCCUACGGGAGGCAGCAGUAGGGAAUCUUCCGCAAUGGACGAAAGUCUGACGGAGCAACGCCGCGUGAGUGAUGAAGGCUUUCGGGUCGUAAAACUCUGUUGUUAGGGAAGAACAAGUGCUAGUUGAAUAAGCUGGCACCUUGACGGUACCUAACCAGAAAGCCACGGCUAACUACGUGCCAGCAGCCGCGGUAAUACGUAGGUGGCAAGCGUUAUCCGGAAUUA
rnacentral:rRNA from 1 species